rnacentral:rRNA from 1 species
AGAGUACGUGAAACCGUUUAGGGGUAAACCUGAGAAACCCGAAAAGUCGAAGGGAGAAAUUCACCGCGGUUCGACGAAGGUGAAACGUUUCGGCGAGUGGCUGCGCUCUUCGGACGCGCGGCGCCGUCGUUUCGUUUUUUUUAUCGACGACGAACGCGUGCACUUUUCUCCCGGUAGGACGUCGCGAUCCGUUGGGCGUCGGUCUACGGCUGACGGUGGAGACCGCGUGUCGUUUUUCGGAACGUACGCGCGGACCCGUUUGCACCCCGACCGACUCGCUCGACGGUAUAAGAACGGUUUGGGGCCGCUUUUGAAGCGUCCGACUCGCGGCUUUCGGGCCGCGACGUUCUCGGACAGACCCUACUCAAAAAUAAAAACCGAUCUGCGACGCUAUAGCUUUGGGUACUUUCAGG